CCGGCCGCGGCGCCGCGCCCCCGCGCCCCGCGCCUCGGCCCAGGCCGCCCGCGGACUCUGGGCACCUGUGGCCGGCGGCUGCCCAGGAACCGUGUCACGCGGCCCCUGCUGACCCCAGCCCGGUCCACCCAGCGGGGCCGAGCUAGGGCCCCGGCCCGGGCCCUGCGGAGCGCGAUGGUCCCCCGGGGCGACCCCUGAGCCCCUUGCCGGAUCCGGGGCUCUGCCUCUGGGCCGCGCCCCCACCUGAGAGUCGUCACCAACUUCUGCCCGGGAACUCCACUCUGCCCCUUCUCUUGGCCCAGGGCGACCUCGGCAGCCCUGACAGCCCGGACCCUCCGGUGUGCCCAGAAGGGUCCCCCGGAGUGGUCUGCGCCUCCCUGGAUGGAGGCGCCUCCAGAAGGAGCCGGCUGAAUGCUCUGGCCUUCACCUUGCAGCCUCCGCUGACCACACCUCCCCGAGUGCAGGGGUUGCCGCCCCGCCCGCCCGCCGGAAAUGCUGUCCCAGCACAGCCGGGUCCCAGAGACUCCGGUGUGACCGACAGGAUGGAACUGGAGCCGGCAACAGAGACCUUCGUGUUGGAGCUUCGAUGUCUUGCGGAUGGAGGCCCAGGGCCUGACACCCUCUCAGACAGGAUCUUGCUAAGCUGCGAAGCUGUCCAGGCUGGGCUUGAAUUUGCUUGAACUUCUGCCGAAGCUUCCCAGAGUGCUGUUAUGACAGG
rnacentral:lncRNA from 1 species